UCAAGAUAGUAAGGGCGCAUGGUGGAUGCCUUGGCACCAAGAGUCGACGAAGGGCGUGAACGGCUGCGAUAAGCCACGGUUAGGCGCUGAAUAGCCUUUGACCCGUGGAUUCCCGAAUGGGGAAACCCAGCGCUGGUAAUGCGGCGUUAUCCCCGGCUGAACACAUAGGCCGGCGGAAGACAAGCGGGGGAAGUGAAACAUCUCAGUACCCCGAGGAAAGAAAAUCAACAGAGACUCCCUGAGUAGUGGCGAGCGAAAGGGGAUCAGCCCAAACCUGGCAGAUGUAAGCGGACACGCGUUGUCUGUCGGGGGUUGUAGGGCGUUUGUUCCGAGCUGUGUCUGGCUCGGCAGGAGUUACAAAAUCGUGUGGUAGUCGAAGCGCGUGGAACCGCGCACCAUAGAGGGCAACCGUCCCGUAGACGAAACUGCACGAUCUUCUGUCAGACGUUCCUGAGUAAGUCCGCACCCGUGAAACGCGGACUGAACCUGGGGGGACCACCCUCCAAGGCUAAGUACUCCUUGGUGACCGAUAGCGGACUAGUACCGUGAGGGAAAGGUGAAAAGUACCCCGGAAGGGGAGUGAAAUAGUACCUGAAACCGCGCGCCUACAAGCGGUGGGAGCAGCUUCGUGCUGUGACCGCGUGCUUUUUGCAUAACGAGCCGGCGAGUUACUCGUCUGCGGCAAGGUUAAGCGAUGAGCGGAGCCGUAGCGAAAGCGAGUCCUAAUAGGGCGACAUAGUCGUAGGCGGUAUACCCGAAACUGAGCGAGCUACCCAUGGGCAGGCUGAAGCGGGGGUAAGACCUCGUGGAGGGCCGAACCGACCUAGGUUGAAAACUGGGCGGAUGACCUGUGGGUCGGAGUGAAAGGCUAAUCAAGCUCAGUGAUAUCUGGUUCUCUCCGAAAUAUAUUUAGGUAUAGCCUCGGAUAAAUUGCGUGUUGGCCGUAGAGCACUGUUUGGACUAGGGGCCCUACCAGGUUACCGACUUCAGGCAAACUCCGAAGACCAAUCACGUUUACUCCGGGAGUCAGUUGCUGGGGGAUAAACUUCAGCGUCAAAAGGGAAACAGCCCAGACCGCCAGCUAAGGUCCCCAAGUACUAGCUAAGUGGGAAACGAUGUUCGAGUGCAUAGACAACCAGGAGGUUGGCUUAGAGGCAGCCAUCCUUGAAAGAGUGCGUAACAGCUCACUGGUCAAGUGUUCGAGCGCGGACAAUGUAACGGGGCUCAAGCUAGUCACCGAAGCUGCGGGUGCGUGAGGUCCUCGGACCGAUCGCGCGGUAGGAGAGCGUUCCGGUGCCAGUGAAGCGGCGGCGUAAGCCAGCCGUGGAGGCGCCGGAAGUGAGAAUGCCGGCAUGAGUAACGAAAGAGGGGUGAGAAUCCCCUCCACCGAUUGCCCAAGGAUUCCUGAGUAAAGUUCGUCUGCUCAGGGUUAGUCGGGACCUAAGGCGAGGCCGAAAGGCGUAGUCGAUGGCCAACAGGUUGAUAUUCCUGUACCACGUCGCUUCCGUUUGACCGAUGGGGGGACGAGGAAGGCUAAGGGAACCCAGGUGAUGGUUAUCCUGGGGUAAGCAUGUAGGGGUGGCCCAUGUUAAAUGCGGGGCCGCAUAACCUGAGGUGCGAUGCCAGCUGGCUUUAAAGCCGGCGAGUCCCUGACGCCAUACCUCCAAGAAAAUCCUCUAGGGAGGAAGCGCGUGCCCGUACCAAAACCGACACAGGUGGGCAAGUAGAGAAUACUAAGGUGAUCGAGAUAACCCUCGUUAAGGAACUCGGCAAAAUCGCCCCGUAACUUCGGGAGAAGGGGCGCCCCAGUAGGGUGAAGCUCUUUACGAGUGGAGCCCGAGGGGGCCGCAGUGAAUUGGCUGAAGCGACUGUUUACCAAAAACACAGGUCUCUGCUAAGUCGAAAGACGACGUAUAGGGGCUGACGCCUGCCCGGUGCCGGAAGGUUACGUGGAGUUGUUAGGACUUCGGUUCGAAGCAGCGAAGCUAAGCCCCGGUAAACGGCGGCCGUAACUAUAACGGUCAUGAUUAAGGCUGUUACAAAAUUCAGCUAUAUGCUGGAACAUCCGAGUAUCCCGCGCUACGAGUUCCGUCCCAAGCGGGCGGUACCGUGAAAAUGUGCCGGGUGCGGACAAUCAGCAGGAAAGACUGUCGAGAGCAGAGGAGCGACGCUGGUUUGUAGCCGGCGUCGUAGAGGGCGAGGGCAGUUGGUGUCUCUCAAUCACGAGGCAUCCGACUGCAGCGCUCGGCUACUACGUCCAGCCGGAGUUUUUUGUGUAUCAACACCGGUGCCGACGGGAGCUCCUCGAGAUGGUCCAGGAGGUCUUUGAGUGCGGACGGAUAUUCCCUAAGCCGGGAAAUCCCGACGUUCUUGUGUUCGCGAUUAUGUCGCGGCCAAAGAUUUCCGAGUAUGUACUGCCGUUUAUGCGGCAAUACAUGGGCUUCUCAUCCAGGAAGGCGGACAUGGACCUGUUCUCGGAUGCCAUGCAUCUGUAUGAGACGGGUCUGCAUCGCCGUCCAGCUGGGCUAGCUACGAUCGUGGAAAUCGCGUAUGCGAUGAACAUGAACGGGAAGCAGCGCAAGCGUUCAAUGGAUGAGGUUCUGGACAGAAUCCUCAGAGGCCAUACGCUGAACACCUAGUUGAGGUGAAGAUAUGGUCCGACCUCCGUGGCGACACGGAGAGCUAGGCGGAACUAGAAACGACCUAGCCGUCUCUGGUAAAGAGGCGUAACAAAAGUGCCUAAGGUAGCGAAAUUCCUUGU
rnacentral:rRNA from 1 species